rnacentral:rRNA from 1 species
GAUGAACGCUGGCGGCGUGCCUAAUACAUGCAAGUCGAGCGAACAGACGAGGAGCUUGCUCCUCUGACGUUAGCGGCGGACGGGUGAGUAACACGUGGAUAACCUACCUAUAAGACUGGGAUAACUUCGGGAAACCGGAGCUAAUACCGGAUAAUAUAUUGAACCGCAUGGUUCAAUAGUGAAAGACGGGUUUGCUGUCACUUAUAGAUGGAUCCGCGCCGCAUUAGCUAGUUGGUAAGGUAACGGCUUACCAAGGCAACGAUGCGUAGCCGACCUGAGAGGGUGAUCGGCCACACUGGAACUGAGACACGGUCCAGACUCCUACGGGAGGCAGCAGUAGGGAAUCUUCCGCAAUGGGCGAAAGCUUGACGGAGCAACGCCGCGUGAGUGAUGAAGGUCUUCGGAUCGUAAAACUCUGUUAUUAGGGAAGAACAAAUGUGUAAGUAACUAUGCACGUCUUGACGGUACCUAAGCAGAAAGCCACGGCUAACUACGU